AACGAACGCUGGCGGCAUGCCUAACACAUGCAAGUCGAACGAGACCUUCGGGUCUAGUGGCGCACGGGUGCGUAACGCGUGGGAACCUGCCCUUAGGUUCCGAAUAACUCCCCUAAAGGGGUGCUAAUACCGGAUAAUGUCUUCGGACCAACGAUUUAUCGCCUUUGGGUGGGCCCGCGUUGGAUUAGUCGGUUGGUAGGGGAAAAGCCUAUCAAGGGCACGAUGCAUAGCUGGUCUGAGAGGAUGAUUAGCCACACUGGGACUGAGACACGGCCCAGAAUCCUACGGGAGGCAGCAGUGGGGUAUAUUAGACGAUGGGGGAAAGCCUGAUCCAGCAACGCCGCGUGAGUGAUGAAGGGGUUAGGGUUGUAAAGCUCUUUUACCCGGGAUGAGAAUGACAGUAACGGGAAAAUAAGCACCGGCUAACUCCGUG
rnacentral:rRNA from 1 species